rnacentral:rRNA from 1 species
AUGUGGUGGUUGAGAAUAUUGCGUGUCGUCUCAAAACAUGUAGGCAACCACAUCCUUUUCUUUUCAUCAUGUUCUCUUUCAUUUGUGAGCAUUCCCUUGAUUGUAACACGUGUCAGCCUCCUAGUGGUUCUCUUUGCCAAGAGGGGCUCUCGGCAAAGUUGGCCCUCGGCCUGUUCUCGUGGUCCCACAUGUGGCGAUGGAGGAACAGGUGGUAAUGUCAUUCUUGAGUGCUCAAGAUCUGUCCGGGAUUUCAGCAACUUGCAACAUCACACGUUAUGCUUUUGGUAUCAUCAUAUUUUGUUCCGAGGAGGCAAUGGACUUUCUAAGAAACAGAUAGGGACAAGAGGUCCUGACAAGGUCGCCCAAGUACCAGUUGGCACAGUGAUUCAUCUAGUCCGAGGGGAGCAACCAUCUUUCAUCGUAAAUAAACCAACCAGAUCUCUAGAUCCCUGGGAUAUCCCAAAUGUUGCGGAUGACUCUGCAGACAAUAGCGAUGCAAGUAGCAUUCAACAUCAGGUCGAGUUGGAUGAAAAUGAUCAGUUUGAUGACGACGAUGAAGGAUUUUGGGAGGAUGAAGACGAGACGGAGGAAGAGGCUCUAGAUUAUUCUGUUGCUGAAAUGACAAGACCUGGGCAACGGUUGAUCGUGGCACAAGGAGGGGAGGGUGGACUAGGGAAUGCUUCUAUAGGCAGGGACGUCCAUCUAUCCAAAGGAAAUAGACAAGAGGAGGUAGCCCGUUUAAGUAGUAGACAGCCAGGAACAGAGUCUUUUCUUAUCUUAGAACUAAAGAGCAUUGCUGAUGUUGGCCUUGUUGGUUUGCCUAAUGCCGGAAAGAGCACACUUCUGAGUGCUCUCUCUAGGGCUCGCCUGGAGAUCGCUGACUAUGCAUUCACCACUAUAAGGCCCAAUAUUGGUAGCCUGACCUACGAAGAUUACUUGUCAGUGAAAGUUGCUGACAUACCUGGUCUUAUCAAAGGUGCCCAUGAGAACCGUGGCCUGGGUCAUGCCUUCUUGAGGCACAUUGAGCGCACCAAAGUUCUGUCCUAUGUGCUUGACCUGGCAACAACACUCAACGGUAGGAAGGGUAUCCCACCAUCGGAGCAGCUGCGCGAUCUGGUCGUGGAGCUAGAGCAUUACCAAGAAGGCAUGACAAGGCGGCCAUCGUUGAUUGUCACAAACAAAAUAGACGAAGAGGGAGCUAACGCAAUGUAUGAAGUGUUAGAUAGGAGAGUGCAAGGUGUUCCCAUAUUUCCAGUGUGUGCCAUGUUGCAAGAGGGAGUACCUGAUCUUAGAGUUGGCCUGAGAGACCUUAUGGAUGCUGCCUCGGAUCCACAAGGCGUUGAUUUGAGCAAAAUUACUGUAGACUAA